rnacentral:rRNA from 1 species
ACACAUGCAAGUCGAGGGGAAACGACAUCGAAAGCUUGCUUUUGAUGGGCGUCGACCGGCGCACGGGUGAGUAACGCGUAUCCAACCUGCCCAUCACUUGGGGAUAACCUUGCGAAAGUAAGACUAAUACCCAAUGACGUCUCUAGAAGACAUCUGAAGGAGAUUAAAGAUUUAUCGGUGAUGGAUGGGGAUGCGUCUGAUUAGCUUGUUGGCGGGGUAACGGCCCACCAAGGCGACGAUCAGUAGGGGUUCUGAGAGGAAGGUCCCCCACAUUGGAACUGAGACACGGUCCAAACUCCUACGGGAGGCAGCAGUGAGGAAUAUUGGUCAAUGGACGAGAGUCUGAACCAGCCAAGUAGCGUGCAGGAUGACGGCCCUAUGGGUUGUAAACUGCUUUUAUAAGGGAAUAAAGUUAGUCUCGUGAGACUUUUUGCAUGUACCUUAUGAAUAAGGACCGGCUAAUUCCGUGCCAGCAGCCGCGGUAAUACGGAAGGUCCGGGCGUUAUCCGGAUUUAUUGGGUUUAAAGGGAGCGUAGGCCGGAGAUUAAGCGUGUUGUGAAAUGUAGACGCUCAACGUCUGCACUGCAGCGCGAACUGGUUUCCUUGAGUACGCACAAAGUGGGCGGAAUUCGUGGUGUAGCGGUGAAAUGCUUAGAUAUCACGAAGAACUCCGAUUGCGAAGGCAGCUCACUGGAGCGCAACUGACGCUGAAGCUCGAAAGUGCGGGUAUCGAACAGGAUUAGAUACCC